rnacentral:rRNA from 1 species
GGUUGAUCUGGAGUGGUCUAUGCUUGUCUCAAAGAUUAAGCCAUGCAUGUGAAGGUAAACAAAUUUGUACUGUGAAACUGCGAAUGGCUCAUUAAAUCAGUUAUAGUUUAUUUGAUGGUAUCUUGCUACAUGGAUAACUGUGGUAAUUCUAGAGCUAAUACAUGCAAUCAAGCCCCGACUUCUGGGAGGGGUGUAUUUAUUAGAUAAAAAACCAACGCGGUUCGCCGCUCCCUUGGUGAUUCAUAAUAACUUGUCGAAUCGCAUGGCCUUGUGCCGGUGAUGCUUCAUUCAAAUAUCUGCCCUAUCAACUUUCGAUGGUAGGAUAGUGGCCUACCAUGGUUUCAACGGGUAACGGGGAAUAAGGGUUCGAUUCCGGAGAGGGAGCCUGAGAAACGGCUACCACAUCCAAGGAAGGCAGCAGGCGCGCAAAUUACCCAAUCCCGACACGGGGAGGUAGUGACAAUAAAUAACAAUAUAGGGCUCUUUCGGGUCUUAUAAUUGGAAUGAGUACAAUUUAAAUCCCUUAACGAGGAACAAUUGGAGGGCAAGUCUGGU